GGGAACGUACCUUUCGGUUCGGAAUAAUUCAGGGAAACUUGGACUAAUACCGGAUACGCCCUUCGGGGGAAAGAUUUAUCGCCGAUAGAUCGGCCCGCGUCUGAUUAGCUAGUUGGUGAGGUAAAGGCUCACCAAGGCGACGAUCAGUAGCUGGUCUGAGAGGAUGAUCAGCCACAUUGGGACUGAGACACGGCCCAAACUCCUACGGGAGGCAGCAGUGGGGAAUAUUGGACAAUGGGCGCAAGCCUGAUCCAGCCAUGCCGCGUGAGUGAUGAAGGCCUUAGGGUUGUAAAGCUCUUUUGUCCGGGAAGAUAAUGACUGUACCGGAAGAAUAAGCCCCGGCUAACUUCGUGCCAGCAGCCGCGGUAAUACGAAGGGGGCUAGCGUUGCUCGGAAUCACUGGGCGUAAAGGGCGCGUAGGCGGACUUUUAAGUCGGAGGUGAAAGCCCAGGGCUCAACCCUGGAAUUGCCUUCGAUACUGGGAGUCUUGAGUUCGGAAGAGGUUGGUGGAACUGCGAGU
rnacentral:rRNA from 1 species